GAUUAAGUUAUUAAGGGCGCACGGUGGAUGCCUUGGCACUAGAAGCCGAUGAAGGACGUUACUAACGACGAUAUGCUUUGGGGAGCUGUAAGUAAGCUUUGAUCCAGAGAUUUCCGAAUGGGGAAACCCAGCAUGAGUUAUGUCAUGUUAUCGAUAUGUGAAUACAUAGCAUAUCAGAAGGCACACCCGGAGAACUGAAACAUCUUAGUACCCGGAGGAAGAAAAAGA
rnacentral:rRNA from 1 species